UAACGAAUCUUCCGCAAUGCACGAAAGUGUGACGGAGCGACGCCGCGUGUAGGACGAAGUCCUUCGGGAUGUAAACUACUGUCAGGGGUUACCAAGUUCUGAGGAGCCCCAGAGGAAGGCACGGCUAACUCUGUGCCAGCAGCCGCGGUAAUACAGAGGUGCCGAGCGUUAGGCGGAAUCACUGGGCUUAAAGCGUGUGUAGGCGGAUGCCUAAGUACCUUGUGAAAUCCCACGGCUUAACCGUGGAACUGCUCGGUAUACUGGGUGUCUUGAGCCACUUAGGGGUUACCGGAACAAAUGGUGGAGCGGUGAAAUGCGUAGAUAUCAUUUGGAACGCCAAUGGUGAAAACAGGUAACUGGGAGUGUGCUGACGCUGAGACACGAAAGCCAGGGGAGCGAACGGGAUUAGAUACCCCUGUAGUCC
rnacentral:rRNA from 1 species